UAGGUUAAAGCUUUUAGAAGCGCCGGACUUUUAAUCCGUGUGAAGUCGGUUUAAUGUACGUCUAGCCUAU
rnacentral:tRNA from 1 species